CAUGCAAGUCGAGGGGCAACACAUGAAGUAGCAAUACGGAUGGUGGCGACCGGCGCACGGGUGAGUAACGCGUAUGCAAUCUACCUACAACAAGGGGAUAACCCGUUGAAAGACGGACUAAUACCCUAUAAUACAGGGGUUCCGCAUGGGACUAUUUGUUAAAGAUUCAUCGGUUGUAGAUGAGCAUGCGUUCCAUUAGCUGGUUGGUGGGGUAACGGCCCACCAAGGCAACGAUGGAUAGGGGAACUGAGAGGUUUAUCCCCCACACUGGUACUGAGACACGGACCAGACUCCUACGGGAGGCAGCAGUGAGGAAUAUUGGUCAAUGGACGCAAGUCUGAACCAGCCACGUCGCGUGAAGGAAGACGGCCCUACGGGUUGUAAACUUCUUUUGUAAGGGAAUAAAGUGAGUCACGUGUGACUUUUUGCAUGUACCUUACGAAUAAGGAUCGGCUAACUCCGUGCCAGCAGCCGCGGUAAUAC
rnacentral:rRNA from 1 species